rnacentral:misc_RNA from 1 species
CACUUUUAUUUUUUCUCCCUCCACCCUCACGAACUCUGCUAUAAGAGACACCAACAGAGUCACGAGCAAGCCACUUCACAAUUCUCAACACUUUGUUGCCCUCACGCCACUUCGCAUGCGUACUCUCACACACUAGUGUUUCUCUUAGCUUACCUUGCCUUCACUACCUUUCUUGCACAUGUGCGCAACACACACACUUAGUUUAUAGGUGAUGAAGGAAAUUCUGGAUGAUUCUUAAAAUGCCGGUGAUGAAGAAUUCUCAAAGCUUUCUUGAAUGGCGGUUGUGAAGCUUCUCCAAACCACCUGAAUUUUCUGCAAGCUUAAAGAAAUUUCUAGAUAAAGAGAGGCGGUGGUGAUUCUUCAAUAAUUAACAACUCUGUUUCUUUGCAAUAAACCCAUCAUUAUUAGCUUGUAAUUGAGGAUGUUGAGGCUUUAUUGCUUGCUAAUUCUUAUGCUAAAUUUAGCAUUACCAGUCUUAUCUGUUGAUACGUAUAGCAAAGAGGACUUCCCUCCUGGCUUUAUUUUUGGUGCUGCUACCUCUGCUUAUCAGGUCAGUACCUCUGAAACUGAGGGAUAAAAAGGGAAAGAAAGAUCAUCUUUUUGAAAAAAGAAUCGCUUCAUGGGUUUAUGGUAUACUUGCUAUUCUUGAAAGGUGGAAGGAGCAGCACGUGAGGAUGGUAGGAGUCCCAGCGUUUGGGAUACCUUUUCUCGUGGAGGAGGAGAUGUGGCAGUUGAUGAGUAUCACAAAUACAAGGUUAAUUAUGAUAUGUAAUUUGAGUAGCAAGCAGCCAAGUGUUCUCGAGUACAGGAAAUUUUGUGAAUAGGUUCAUUUCUCUUUUGCAGGAAGAUGUCCAACUUAUGGCUGAAACUGGGUUACAGGCCUAUAGAUUUUCCAUCUCAUGGCCAAGACUUAUCCCAAAUGGAAGAGGACCCGUCAACCCAAAGGCCGUACGAUAUUACAACAACCUCAUCAAUGAACUUAUCAGCCAUGGCAUCCAGCCACAUGUUACAAUAUAUCAUUAUGAUCAUCCGCAGGCGCUUGAAGACGAGUAUGGAGGAUGGCUUAGCAGAAAGAUUGUGAAGGACUUCACAACUUUUGCAGAUGUGUGUUUCAGAGAGUUUGGUGACAGAGUUUUGUAUUGGACCACUUUGAAUGAGCCCAACGUCUUUCCACUUUUCAGUUAUGAUGUGGGAAUGUUGCCCCCUAAUCGAUGCUCUUUUCCAUUUGGACUCAACUGCUCCCAAGGCAACUCCACGUCUGAACCAUACUUGGUCGCUCAUCAUCUCUUAUUGGCACAUGCUUCAGCUGUGAGAUUGUACCGGAAAAAGUAUCAGAGCAAGCAACUAGGAUUUGUUGGGAUUAAUCUCUAUGCUUUUGCGGCUUAUCCCCUAACAAACUCAACAGAGGAUGUGCUUGCAACUCAAAGAGCCAAUGACUAUUUUGUGGGUUUGAUAGCUAAUCCUGUGGUGUUUGGAAGCUAUCCGGACAUAGUAAAGAAAAACGCAGGCUCAAGACUACCAACCUUCACGAAUCAAGAAUACAAACAAGUUAAGGGUUCAUUUGACUUCCUGGGAAUAAAUCAUUACAUGUCAAUACAUGUAAAAGACAACUCCGCCAGCCUGAAGUCGGAGUACAGAGAUUUUCUAGCAGAUAUGGCAGUAGAGAUGAUAGCUGAUAUAGAUAGUUCAAAAUAUGAGUUUCCGAUACAACCAUCGGGUAUGCAAGCUUCACUGGAAUACUUCAAGCAAGCUUAUGGCAACCCUCCAAUCUACAUUCAUGAAAAUGGGCAACGGACCCGACGAACUUCGUCCUUGGAAGAUACCUCCAGGGUCAAGUAUAUGCAUGGAUACAUUGGGAGUGUACUUGAUGCUAUUAGGAAUGGAUCAAAUACAAGAGGGUAUUUUACGUGGUCCUUCUUAGAUGUGUUUGAGCUGUUGGGUGGCUAUGAACCAUGCUUUGGGCUUUAUUAUGUGGACAUCAAUGACCCACAAUUAAAACGGCAUGCUAAGCUCUCUGCACAUUGGUACUCUCAAUUUUUGAAGGGAAGACCCGUUUCCUCCGACUCUGAUGGCCUUAUAAAGCUUGGAAAAGAUUUCUCACUCUUGUCUCGCAGGAGUUGAUCUUCCUUAUAUAUUAUAUAUAGAAGAUCUUCCAUAAUAAUUGUACUUUAGAAAACGGCUAUAACCAACAAGUAAAAUUGCAUCUUUGUGAUUAGAUCCUGAAGCCUAUUGGAUAAUUGUCAACAAUCUCUGUUGAUCAUCUCUAAUAGAGUAUUAGUGAUUAUCAAUCUCUAAGAUAAUUGUCAUUUAUACAGGUUAAUUAAAAGGCC